GUCAGGACAACCUGAAGCUGUGUCACAGGAACCCAGCCAGCAUGCUUGUGAGAAGCAUGCCUGAGUCCUAGAGAGUCAAUAGUCUCUGAUGAAUGCCACCCAACAGUCAAUAUCAACUGAAAGCCAUCUGCGUGAGCCAUCUCAGUCCAGUCAAGCUAUCAACAUGACUGCAGCAGCACUGGAGACUGCAAGAAAGAAUUGCCCAGCUUAGGCCAGUCAACACACAGGAUUACAAAAGAUGAGAGAAAUGUGGAUCUGAA
rnacentral:lncRNA from 1 species